UAGGGAAUCUUCGGCAAUGGACGAAAGUCUGACCGAGCAACGCCGCGUGAGUGAAGAAGGUUUUCGGAUCGUAAAACUCUGUUGUUAGAGAAGAACAAGGGUGAGAGUAACUGUUCACCCCUUGACGGUAUCUAACCAGAAAGCCACGGCUAACUACGUGCCCG
rnacentral:rRNA from 1 species